GACGAACGCUGGCGGCGUGCCUAAUACAUGCAAGUAGAACGCUGAAGAGAGGAGCUUGCUCUUCUUGGAUGAGUUGCGAACGGGUGAGUAACGCGUAGGUAACCUGCCUUGUAGCGGGGGAUAACUAUUGGAAACGAUAGCUAAUACCGCAUAACAAUGGAUGACACAUGUCAUUUAUUUGAAAGGGGCAAUUGCUCCACUACAAGAUGGACCUGCGUUGUAUUAGCUAGUAGGUGAGGUAAUGGCUCACCUAGGCGACGAUACAUAGCCGACCUGAGAGGGUGAUCGGCCACACUGGGACUGAGACACGGCCCAGACUCCUACGGGAGGCAGCAGUAGGGAAUCUUCGGCAAUGGGGGCAACCCUGACCGAGCAACGCCGCGUGAGUGAAGAAGGUUUUCGGAUCGUAAAGCUCUGUUGUAAGUCAAGAACGGGUGUGAGAGUGGAAAGUUCACACUGUGACGGUAGCUUACCAGAAAGGGACGGCUGACUACGUGCCAGCAGCCGCGGUAAUACGUAGGUCCCGAGCGUUGUCCGGAUUUAUUGGGCGUAAAGCGAGCGCAGGCGGUUUGAUAAGUCUGAAGUUAAAGGCUGUGGCUCAACCAUAGUUCGCUUUGGAAACUGUCAAACUUGAGUGCAGAAGGGGAGAGUGGAAUUCCAUGUGUAGCGGUGAAAUGCGUAGAUAUAUGGAGGAACACCGGUGGCGAAAGCGGCUCUCUGGUCUGUAACUGACGCUGAGGCUCGAAAGCGUGGGGAGCGAACAGGAUUAGAUACCCUGGUAGUCCACGCCGUAAACGAUGAGUGCUAGGUGUUGGAUCCUUUCCGGGAUUCAGUGCCGCAGCUAACGCAUUAAGCACUCCGCCUGGGGAGUACGACCGCAAGGUUGAAACUCAAAGGAAUUGACGGGGGCCCGCACAAGCGGUGGAGCAUGUGGUUUAAUUCGAAGCAACGCGAAGAACCUUACCAGGUCUUGACAUCCCGAUGCUAUUUCUAGAGAUAGAAAGUUACUUCGGUACAUUGGUGACAGGUGGUGCAUGGUUGUCGUCAGCUCGUGUCGUGAGAUGUUGGGUUAAGUCCCGCAACGAGCGCAACCCCUAUUGUUAGUUGCCAUCAUUCAGUUGGGCACUCUAGCGAGACUGCCGGUAAUAAACCGGAGGAAGGUGGGGAUGACGUCAAAUCAUCAUGCCCCUUAUGACCUGGGCUACACACGUGCUACAAUGGUUGGUACAACGAGUUGCGAGUCGGUGACGGCGAGCUAAUCUCUUAAAGCCAAUCUCAGUUCGGAUUGUAGGCUGCAACUCGCCUACAUGAAGUCGGAAUCGCUAGUAAUCGCGGAUCAGCACGCCGCGGUGAAUAAAUUCCCGGGCCU
rnacentral:rRNA from 1 species